rnacentral:rRNA from 1 species
AGCAGUGGGGAAUUUUCCGCCAUGGGCGAAAGCCUGACGGAGCAAUACCGCGUGAGGGAGGAAGGCUCCUGGGUUGUAAACCUCUUUUUUCAGGGAAGAACACAAUGACGGUACCUGAGGAAUCAGCAUCGGCUAACUCCGUGCCAGCAGCCGCGGUAAUACAGAGGAUGCAAGCGUUAUCCGGAAUGAUUGGGCGUAAAGCGUCCGCAGGUGGCUGUGUAAGUCUGCUGUUAAAGAGCGAGGCUCAACCUCAUAAGAGCAGUGGAAACUACCCGGCUAGAGUGCGGUCGGGGCAGAGGGAAUUCCUGGUGUAGCGGUGAAAUGCGUAGAGAUCAGGAAGAACACCGGCGGCGAAAGCGCUCUGCU